rnacentral:misc_RNA from 1 species
GAUGAAGAACGUAGUAAAAUGCGUUAAGUAAUGUGAAUUGCAGAAUUCAGUGAAUCAUCGAAUCUUUGAACGCACAUUGCGCCCGCUGGUAUUCCGGCGGGCAUGCCUGUUCGAGCGUCAUUUCAACCCUCAAGCCCCCGGGUUUGGUGUUGGGGAUCGGCUCUGCCCUUCUGGGCGGUGCCGCCCCCGAAAUACAUUGGCGGUCUCGCUGCAGCCUCCAUUGCGUAGUAGCUAACACCUCGCAACUGGAACGCGGCGCGGCCAUGCCGUAAAACCCCAACUUCUGAAUGUUGACCUCGGAUCAGGUAGGAAUACCCGCUGAACUUAAGCAUAUCAAUAAGCGGAGGA